GACGAACGCUGGCGGCGUGCUUAACACAUGCAAGUCGAACGGAAAGGCCCUGCUUUUGUGGGGUGCUCGAGUGGCGAACGGGUGAGUGACACGUGAGUAACCUGCCCUUGACUUUGGGAUAACUUCAGGAAACUGGGGCUAAUACCGGAUAGGAGCUCCUGCUGCAUGGUGGGGGUUGGAAAGUUUCGGCGGUUGGGGAUGGACUCGCGGCUUAUCAGCUUGUUGGUGGGGUAGUGGCUUACCAAGGCUUUGACGGGUAGCCGGCCUGAGAGGGUGACCGGCCACAUUGGGACUGAGAUACGGCCCAGACUCCUACGGGAGGCAGCAGUGGGGAAUAUUGCACAAUGGGCGGAAGCCUGAUGCAGCAACGCCGCGUGCGGGAUGACGGCCUUCGGGUUGUAAACCACUUUCGCCUGUGACGAAGCGUGAGUGACGGUAAUGGGUAAAGAAGCACCGGCUAACUACGUG
rnacentral:rRNA from 1 species